AGUGAACGCUGGCGGUAGGCCUAACACAUGCAAGUCGAACGGCAGCACAGUAAGAGCUUGCUCUUACGGGUGGCGAGUGGCGGACGGGUGAGGAAUACAUCGGAAUCUACUUUUUCGGGGGGAUUAAGGAAGGUAAGGUUAGCCAAUACCCGAAGCCCCCUACGGGUGGAAGGAGUGGGAACUUCUACGCUGUGCGGGUUGAAGUCGCGAGGUCGGAGUAGGUUGGUGGCGGGGUAAAGGCCCACCAAGGUGACGAUCCGUAGCUGGUCUGGGAGGAUGAUCGGCCGCACUGGAACUGAGACACGGUCCAGACUCCUACGGGAGGCAGCAGUGGGGAAUAUUGGACAGUGGGCGCAAGCCUGAUCCAGCCAUACCGCGUGGGUGAAGAAGGCCUUCGGGUUGUAAAGCCCUUUUGUUGGAAAAGAAAAGCAGCAGGUUAAUACCCCGCUGUUCUGACGGUACCCAAAGAAUAAGCACCGGCUAACUUCGUG
rnacentral:rRNA from 1 species